CUUUUGAAUUCAUUUUUAGAUGCAAAGAAAAAGGCAACAUUGAAAAGUUUCUAACUCCCAACGGCAAAAGUCAGUCCUCUGGCCCCAAACUUUCCAAUUUUCCAGACACCUGUUGCUGUUGUUCAUGUGAAAAAACGGAAAACAAAUUCUCUUCUAGCCAAUGAGAGGAGGACACGUGUGCAUCGUCGUCAGUUUCCUCCUCCUCCUAGCUGCCGUUAGCGGGGAGUUCGCCGGCGAUUACUCGAAGCUGUCGGGAAUUAUCAUCCCGGGGUUUGCAUCCACCCAACUAAGAGCAUGGUCAAUAUUGGACUGCCCUUAUUCUCCUCUGGAUUUCAAUCCUCUCGAUUUAGUCUGGCUCGACACCACCAAACUUCUUUCUGCUGUGAAUUGCUGGCUGAAGUGUAUGAUGUUGGAUCCUUACAAUCAAACAGAUCAUCGGGAAUGCAAGUCUCGACCUGACAGUGGCCUUUCUGCUAUCACAGAGCUUGAUCCGGGAUACAUUACAGGUCCUCUGUCAUCAGUGUGGAAAGAAUGGGUUAAGUGGUGCAUUGAAUUUGGUAUCGAGGCUAAUGCAAUCAUCGCAGUUCCAUAUGACUGGAGAUUGUCUCCAUCAAAGCUUGAGGAGCGAGAUCUUUACUUUCACAAACUAAAGCUAACUUUUGAAACUGCUCUUAAACUUCGUGGUGGGCCUUCAAUAGUUUUCGCUCAUUCAUUAGGUAACAAUGUCUUUAGAUACUUCUUGGAGUGGUUGAAAUUAGAGAUUGCUCCGAAAGAGUAUAUGCGAUGGCUAGACGAUCACAUUCAUGCCUAUUUUGCUGUUGGAGCUCCUCUUCUUGGUGCUAUUGAGACAGUCAAAGCAACAUUAUCGGGGGCUACAUUUGGUCUUCCUGUUUCUGAGGGGACAGCUCGCCUGAUGUUCAAUACUUUUGGAUCUUCUAUGUGGAUGUUGCCAUUUUCAAAAUAUUGUACAACAGAUAAUGUGUACCGGAGGCAUUUCUCUGGCGGAAACCGGGAAAACCAUCACGCCUACCAUUGCGAUGAGCAUGAGCUUCAAUCAAACUAUUCUGGCUGGCCAACAAACAUAAUCAAUAUUGAAGUUCCUUCAAUUCGAGGGGAUGAGGCUUAUCCAUCAUUUGUAGAAAUUGCCCAAGCUAACUUGUCGGGAAUGGAAUGUGGAUUUCCGACGCAAUUGUCCUUUUCUGCUCGUGAAGUCUCUGAUGGGACCUUUUUCAAAGCCAUAAAGGAUUAUGAUCCUGAUAGCGAAAGGCUCUUGCACCUUUUACAAAAGUCUUACCAUGAUGAUCCGAUUUUAAAUCCUCUAACACCUUGGGAAAGACCACCUCUCAAGAACAUAUUCUGCAUUUAUGGCAUAGAUUCGAAGACUGAGGUUGGUUACUAUUUUGCACCCAGUGGGAAGCCUUAUCCUGAUAAUUGGAUUAUAACAGAUGUGAUAUAUGAAAUUGAAGGAUCUCUGUAUUCACGGUCAGGAAAUCUGGUUGAAGGAAACCCAGGUGCAACAAGUGGGGAUGAGACGGUGCCAUACCAUUCACUCUCCUGGUGCAAGAAUUGGCUGGGGCCAAAAGUGAACAUAACAAGGACACCACAGUCAGAGCAUGAUGGCUCAGAUGUACAAGUGCAUCGAAAUAUAGAGCAUCAACAUGGCGAAGAUAUCAUCCCCAAUAUGACAAGGUUACCUACGGUGAAGUACAUAACCUAUUAUGAGGAUUCUGAAAGUUUUCCAGGAAAGAGAACAGCAGUUUGGGAGCUCGAUAAAGUCGUAAGCAUUUGACAGGGGACAGAUUUAAGACAUGGUACAUCGUUUUAUACCUCAAAUCAAUCUUGCAUAUAUAAUGUUCAGCUUCCAUAUGAUGCAAGAUUAAAGAUCUUGUCCAACUGCAUUGAAUAAAUUCGGAACAUUGUCAGAUCUCCAGUUUUGAUGCGGGAGCUGUGGCUUGAGAUGUGGCAUGAUAUUCAUCCUGAUAAAAAGUCUAACUUUGUUACUAAAGCAAAGCGUGGGCCUCUGAGGGAUGAGGACUGCUAUUGGGAUUAUGGGAAAGCCCGAUGCGCAUGGCCUGAACAUUGUGAAUACAGGUAACAGUGUUUCAAUUAAAUUUUGCAAAAUAAUAUUCUCCUUCUGUAUUUAGGCCACCUUUCUCCGGUUACGAUGAUGCAGAUAUUUAUUCGGGGAUGUUCACCUGGGGCAGAGUUGCAGAUUGAAGAAUUCUACAUAUGAUCUCCUGUCGCACUAUGUAUGAUUUUUAAGAAAGCAGAUGUACAUUCCACAAAUAUUAGAAGAACAAGGGCUAAUGAUUCAGAGAGCAAAGACUGGAUGUUCGUCUGGACUGCGUUGCAUCCAACUUUGUCUGUGUAUCAUAAACUAGAGUUUGAUCACCUGUACAUCCAAAUGGAAGAAAUUUUGUAGAGUAUCAAAUGUAGCACCAGAACAUGUUCCACAUUAGAGUGUAAUUACAACGGAGAGUCAAGAUAGCUCUAUUCAUUUUAAGGAAGACUAUGAUGAUCAUUUAUAUGCAUUGGUGUUUUGACGCCAAAGUUGAUCACACGUCUGAAAAUGUAAUCCAUAUAUUGAGAUUCCACUGGUUAUUUAGUUUUGACUAUAUUUAGAUAAUGGAAUUACACAAUCCAAGACUUUGCAUGGAUGAA